GGGGUAUAGCUCAGUUGGUAGAGCGACGCGUUCGCAAUGCGUAGGCCAGCGGUUCGACUCCGCUUACCUCC
rnacentral:tRNA from 1 species